rnacentral:lncRNA from 1 species
CUCUGAGAGCGACAGUGAUCGAGAGAGAGAGAGAGAGAGAGCAAUUCUGAGAGCGAAAAAUAAUAGAGAUUUGGAUUUGUUUUGGAAGAGGUCUGAUUUCAGUUGAUCGAGAGGGAGAGACAGAAACACUGAGAGAGAAGUAGAGAUCCAUAGCAAGAUUUGGAUCAAAUUUGGAUCCAUAUUAAUCCAAGAUUGUGGUGUUUUGAUAGAAAGAGAAGUAAGAGUGUUUGGUUUCAAUUAUCUUCAAUCUGUUGUGUUGGUGGGUUUCGGGAGAGUGAGGAUUGCAGAUUAUAUGCAAAAAACUUUUGGCAACAUUUUUCUGCGGCUGUCCCUUUGUCUGCUGCUCAAUAUUAUCUUGGCUUUGAAUUGUUAUUCAGAUUUGGGUAAUUUUUUUUUGUCAUGCAUUAUCUGAUUUAAAGAGAUUGUUAGACUGCUGGAUUUUGCUUUGUAAAGAGGUUGUGUAUUACUGAUUUAACAAUCACUCUAGAAGAUAGGUGGUAAUUAUAGAAAUCAAUAUUGAUAUUUGCUUUAUCUAUAUAUUCUGCCGUGUGUUUGUACUCAUGAUAAUGAACUGCAAAUAUAGUUGAACACUGUUAUAUGGUAGAAUGAAUCGUAGAGUUUGUCAAUUAUUGUGAAUUAAUGAAGAAAAGCGAUUGUUCUAUGAGCUGUAUUGUUUUAAGAAAGGUCAUGUCGAUUCAUAAUACUUGAGACAGAUGACAGCCACCAAGGGAGAAAAAGUUAACAACGAAAAUAAAACCAGGGAUAAUGAAGAGAUUAAUGGUAUUUAAAUAGUGAGGUCUAAAUGUUUUUGGCUUUUUAAAGGUGUGUGAUUUUAGAGACAGCAAAGAUUUACAAUGUAAAGAAUGUGAGGGAGUCUGUUGGUAUUUUUUGUUUCUGUUGGUAAACAAACAGCAAAUUUAGUACUGUGGUUAACUAUUUACAGAGAAUAGUAUAUAGUAUAUGACAACAUCUUCAUUGCUCAAGAGGUUCUACGCAGAUACAGAAGAUCAAAAGGAAAGAUGGGCUACAUUGCUUGGAAAGUAAUUUUGUUUUCAACAUUUUCUAGAGAUCUGUCUCUCAAUUUGUAUUAGAUCUUUUGUAAUGUCAAGAAAGUGUUGUGCAGGGUUUGCUAAUUGAAUUGUAUAAGAUUAAGGAUUCCGCCAAUGGGUUACUUAAUAAUAUUUUCUUCAUCUUCUAAAAGUAUUCAUUUCAAACAGUUCCUAUUGUUAUUAAG